rnacentral:rRNA from 1 species
AUCNUGUUAGUAGCUUGCUACUAACUUGGUUAGCGGCGGACGGGUGAGUAACACGUUAGGCAACCUGCCCACAAGAUCGGGAUAACAUUCGGAAACGAAUGCUAAGACCGGAUAAACAAUUCGGCCGCAUGGCUGGAUUGGGAAACGCGGAGCAAUCUGCGGCUUGUGGAUGGGCCUGCGGCGCAUUAGCUAGUUGGUGGGGUAAUGGCUCACCAAGGCGACGAUGCGUAGCCGACCUGAGAGGGUGAACGGCCACACUGGGACUGAGACACGGCCCAGACUCCUACGGGAGGCAGCAGUAGGGAAUCUUCCACAAUGGGCGAAAGCCUGAUGGAGCAACGCCGCGUGAGUGAGGAAGGCUUUCGGGUCGUAAAGCUCUGUUGCCAGGGAAGAAUAAGGAUGAGAGUAACUGCUCAUUCGAUGACGGUACCUGAGAAGAAAGCCCCGGUUAACUACGUGCCAGCAGCCGCGGUAAUACGUAGGGGGCAAGCGUUGUCCGGAAUUAUUGGGCGUAAAGCGCGCGCAGGCGGUUCUUUAAGUCUGGUGUCUAAGUGCGGGGCUCAACCCCGUGAUGCACUGGAAACUGGGGAACUUGAGUGCAGAAGAGGAGAGCGGAAUUCCACGUGUAGCGGUGAAAUGCGUAGAGAUGUGGAGGAACACCAGUGGCGAAGGCGGCUCUCUGGACUGUAACUGACGCUGAGGCGCGAAAGCGUGGGGAGCAAACAGGAUUAGAUACCCUGGUAGUCCACGCUGUAAACGAUGAGUGCUAGGUGUUGGGGGUAUCAUGCCCUCGGUGCCGAAGUUAACACAUUAAGCACUCCGCCUGGGGAGUACGGUCGCAAGACUGAAACUCAAGGAAUUGACGGGGACCCCCCAAGCAGUGGAGUAUGUGNUUAAUUCGANCACCCGAAAACCU